rnacentral:rRNA from 1 species
UGGGGAAUAUUGCACAAUGGGCGCAAGCCUGAUGCAGCGACGCCGCGUGAGGGAUGACGGCCUUCGGGUUGUAAACCUCUUUCAGCAGGGGAGAAGCCUUUCGGGGUGACGGUACCUGCAGAAGAAGCACCGGCUAACUACGUGCCAGCAGCCGCGGUAAUACGUAGGGUGCGAGCGUUGUCCGGAAUUAUUGGGCGUAAAGAGCUUGUAGGCGGUUUGUCGCGUCUGCUGUGAAAAUCCGGGGCUCAACCCCGGACUUGCAGUGGGUACGGGCAGACUAGAGUGUGGUAGGGGAGACUGGAAUUCCUGGUGUAGCGGUGGAAUGCGCAGAUAUCAGGAGGAACACCGAUGGCGAAGGCAGGUCUCUGGGCCAUUACUGACGCUGAGAAGCGAAAGCAUGGGGAGCAAACA